GUACUCACUUUGGCAGCAUAUAUAUUAACAUUAAAAUGAGAAAGAGAUGACUAGCAUGGCCCCCGCACAAUGAUGACAAGCAAAUUUGUGAAGCAGUCCAUAUUUUU